AAGAGAUAUGUGGAGUAGAAUUGACUUUGGAAAUAUGAUUUUGUAUUGAAAGUUGAAGUGGACAAGUAAUUUGAAACAAAAAACUUUUUUGAAAGUGGACAUGUAAAUUCAAAUAGAGUAAGUAAUACGUAAGACCAUUAAAAUGGGGUUUGAUGGAGUGAGGGGAGUACUUCUAGAGAGCUCCGCAGUCGUUUCGGCCGCUGAUACACAGAACGACGACGGGUUAUUUGCACCCGGUGAGGCGGUGAUUCACCCGGAGCUGAUUUUCUAUUCCGGAAGCUUCGUUAUUCCAAUAUCCCCACCGGGAUAACAUAUGCACUUUGUCUUUCAACACCGAAGGAUCACAUAGGGAAGAGUUAGCUGGUCACACAGGUGGCGGUACCAGCGCGUAAUCCAGUGUGCUUUAUAUAGACAAACUAGAGCAGUUACCAAUGACUAUAUGCAGUUUCAAUAGAAAGGCAAUGGGCAAGGAUGGUCUAGUGGUUGGUUAUGUCAUGUAGCCUUCUCGUGAAGACGACUUAGCCAAGUAAUGGGCCAAAAUUGCACAGCAUUUAGCAACGGCCAAAAGUAAUGACCUAAAGAAUGUUUUGGGCAAGAUGGGUUGAAACUUCGAAUACUUGUAGUUGCUGCAGCUCUGGCCUCUGGCGUGGAGCCUCUUCUUAUUUACACAAUUCAAAAGGAACUCCAUAGAAAUGUUUCAAGUGCAUUGACAAACGGCAGUAGAGUAAACACAGUUAAACAUAGAAAUACAGAGAUACUAAAGUAGUUCCAAACGAUACACAUAAGGAGCUACAAACAGACACCGGAAAAUUACAGUCGGUUCCUCUAGUGUUGGAAGAGAGCUUGUAUUUCUUUUCAUUGCCGCAGCUAAAUCCAGGAGCUUGCGGGCAAUUUUUUCAAUUGCGUCUGCAUAUUCUAUACCAACAUUUCCCUCCGGCAAUUCAUCCAACACUUGCUUCAAGUAUUUGUUGAGAGGAAUAUAGAUGUUGAUUUGGAAUCCAAUUCCAAAAAUUCUCAGCAGUUCAUGUGAUAUUAAUUUGUAACUUAGUUGAUCAGCUUCCGCAUUAGGACGUCGAUCAGCUGGCAAAUACUUUUUAAAGGUUCUUUCGAUUGCUGCCCUCACACGAUUAACUUCCGGUGUCGGGUCCUUGGAGACAUCUUUAACAAGACUCACCUGUCUUUUCCACCAAUUUUUUACUUUAGGCAUCAGUUCUCUGAUCCAUCAAAAACCGAUUUCUCUGGUAAUAGUGAAGAAAAAGUUACUAAAAAUGAAGAAGCUAUUGAAAUUGCUCAGAAUAGUAAGCAACAAUAACAUUUUGAUCAAGGGAGCUUAGCUAGCGAAUCAUCGGCUGAGCCGCUCUAUGAUACAAGUGUUGUGGUGGAGCUUCCACAAAACUUAACUGCCGAAUGUGUUGGCCCUGAUUGUGAUGGAACCUCUAAUAAUGGCAUGGAAAUCAGAUGUGUGACAGAAUUGGGUGGCUCUUCUACAGAAGUCAGUUCGUAUGUUGAAAUUGGCUCAGGAAAAGAAAAUAUUGAAAGAGAAGUACAUCUAGAGGGGCCAAGCCUUAUCGAAUGCAAAUAAAGAAGCUGCAGGAUGUGAUUGGGAUAACUUGUUUUCUGAUGAAGGUGACCUAUUACUGUUUGAUACACCUAAUGAUUCAAAGUCAUUAAUUGAUCCUCUGGUCAGAUCAGUAUUGCCUGGACUUUACCUCUCUGACUGAUAUCAUGCAAAUUUCUGAAGCUGUGAAUGCUGUUGGUCUUGGUCCUGAUAACAAUUCUUCUCUCCUUGAAUGCGGCCAAAAUAUAGAAGCAGUUAAUGAUCAAGACAUCCCUGUUUGAGGUAGCCAGUCUGUAGCUGUUGACAUAAGUGAGAAAGUGGACAACGAGAUUGCAUCUAAUCUGCAACGUGGUAUGAGAAGAGGCUGUCUGAUACUCUGAUAUUUGAGAUGGUCGGUUCUCGCCGGAAGCAUUUAGAUGAUGGUUCUGUAGUUCUUCUUUGUUAUUGCAAUGUCACGAGAAUACUGCUUGCAGUGACAAAUGUGUAGAUCCUCUACAGCCUGUAUCUAAUAUCCCAAGAUGCAGACUACCAGGAAUUGGCUUGCACUUGAAUACUCUUGUGGCAACAUCAGUGGACCACAAAGUUGUGAAACAUGAAACAUUGGUCCCUGGAGGACAACCAAUAAGUGUGUCUGGCUCGGCUGCUUAUAUAUUAGACAGUGCUUUGGUUAUGUGCUCUUCAAAUAGGGACAUAUGUCCUAUUGGAGAUGGAACCUUAAUGGCAGAAGAUGCUGCUCAAGGAUCAGGAUGCAUGGUCACUGAAAGUUUAAAUCACAGUAGCCCUAAAAAGAAGAGGCAUAAAUCGGGCAGCGACGGAGAAAAUGAUGCUUGUAAGCGUUGUAACUGUAAGAAAUCGAAGUGUUUACAGCUGUAAGUUCUUAAAUGAUAUGGGAGUUACUUCCUUGAGCACUUUACUUUUGGUUGCCUGUAUAGUUCUUGCUGUUGCACUAAUAAAACUUUAAGGAUUUAUGGUUUAGGAUUUUGAUCAUUAUUCUUCAUCUGAUCAGAGUAUGUUUUACAGUCUUCUGCAUAUAUUUUUUGAACUCUUUCUUUUGUGUAUUAAUUUCAAGCUUGCUCUAUCCAAUAUUGAAAGCGGUUAGUUUCAAAUGUAAAGUUAAUAAAAAAUGAAGGUUGUGUCUGCUAUAAAGCAGCUACUUUCUACUUAUAGCUCUAAUAAUCCUCAAAUUUAAGCACUGUUAAAAGCUAGACUAUUUUUGUUCUAUAAACUUGAUAAAUGUGCUCUUAUGAACAUUGUACAUUCUUCUCAAUGCAAGGGGUUGGAUGCACACUGGUUAGAAAAUUCCAUUAUUCUCCAUUCAGUUUAAAAAUCAUGAUGUUAAUACAACUAACUAAAUAUAGAAGAGCGUUCAUAAAUGUGAGGGAAACUGCUGUAAUAUGAAAAGUUAUGUAGAAGCGUGAUAUUUUUCCACGGGUAGAGUGUCACUAAUAAUUCUCUGACGCAGCAACUUGUUACCUAUUUUAAAGUGCUGCAAGAUGUGUUAAUAAUAAACAUGCUGCUCUCUUUGCAGUUACUGUGAGUGCUUCGCUGCUGGUGUCUACUGUGUGGAACCAUGUUCAUGCCAAGAAUGCUUCAACAAACCUAUAUAUGAAGAUACUGUCCUUGCAGCACGAAAGCAGAUUGAAUCUCAGAAUCCGCUUGCGUUGCUCCCAAAGUGAUCAGAAACUCUGAAUUUAUCAUUGAAAUUGGGGUGAGAAAUGAUUGGCAGCUAUAAUUUUGUGCACAUUGUGGUUUUUUAAGAACUAUAAUUAUCACUCUGAUGUCUUGAUCUUACAACUGUUGAGAAUAACCUUAUUCCAAACUUGAAGUGAAAAUUUAACUCGGUGAAUCCAAUUAAUAAUUCUUAUUCAAGACGAAUUGGUAAUAUGGGAAGUAUGUAGGAGAGAUAAUUACUUUUGUGACUGCAUUUUGUCAAAAGUUUAGAGGUGUCUUGUUAUUUUUACCAGUUUAAAACUCUGUGAUAUGUAUUUACUAUAGUGAAAAAUUCCCAAAUUCGAUAUGUUUGAUGCCAUACAGUGGGUGGACUUUGUAUGCCUCGUCUAGAAGGAAAUUUUUUAUGUUUGUGUGCUUAUUAAUUCUGUAGUGCAACAAAAGAAAUUUCUUGUA